rnacentral:rRNA from 1 species
GACGAACGCUGGCGGCGUGCCUAAUACAUGCAAGUCGAACGCAUUUUCUUUCACCGUAGCUUGCUACACCGAAAGAAAGUGAGUGGCGAACGGGUGAGUAACACGUGGGUAACCUGCCCAUCAUCGGGGGAUAACACUUGGAAACAGGUUCUAAUACCGCAUAAUUCCAUUUACCGCAUGGUAGAUGGAUGAAAGGCGCUUUUGCGUCACUGAUGGAUGGACCCGCGGUGCAUGAGCUAGUUGGUGGGGUAACGGCCUACCAAGGCUGCGAUGCAUAGCCGACAUGAGAUGGUGAGCGGCCACACUGGGACGGAGACACGGCCCAGAAUCCUACGGGAGGGAGCAGUAGGGAUUCUUCGGCAAGGGAUGCAAUACUGAGCGAGCAACGCCGCGUGAGUGAAGAAGGUUUUCGGAUUGUAAAACUCUGUUGUUAGAGAAGAACAAGGAUGAGCGUGGAAAGUUCAUCCCUUGACGGUAUCUAAUCAGAAAGCCACGGCUAACUACGUG